UGCCUUCAAGAUGGGGACAACAGACGGAAACGACUGCUAAUACCGAAUACGAUCCGAAAGUCGCAUGACAUUUGGAUGAAAGGUGGCCUAUCGAAGAAGCUAUCGCUUGAAGAGGGGUUUGCGUCCGAUUAGGUAGUUGGUGAGGUAACGGCCCACCAAGCCGACGAUCGGUAGCCGGUCUGUACGAGGAUGAACGGCCACACUGGAACUGAGACACGGUCCAGACUCCGUACGGGAGGCAGCAGGA
rnacentral:rRNA from 1 species